rnacentral:rRNA from 1 species
CCUACGGGAGGCAGCAGUGAGGAAUAUUGGUCAAUGGGAGAGAUCCUGAACCAGCCAAGCCGCGUGAGGGAAGACGGCCCUAUGGGUUGUAAACCUCUUUUGUCGGAGAACAAAACCCGGGACAUGUCCCGGACUGCGUGUAUCCGAAGAAAAAGCAUCGGCUAACUCCGUGCCAGCAGCCGCGGUAAUACGGAGGAUGCGAGCGUUAUCCGGAUUUAUUGGGUUUAAAGGGUGCGUAGGCGGUCCGUUAAGUCAGCGGUAAAAUUGCGGGGCUAAACCCCGUCGAGCCGUUGAAACUGGCAGACUUGAGUUGGCGAGAAGUACGCGGAAUGCGCGGUGUAGCGGUGAAAUGCAUAGAUAUCGCGCAGAACUCCGAUUGCGAAGGCAGCGUACUGGCGCCAGACUGACGCUGAGGCACGAAAGCGUGGGGAUCGAACAGGAUUAGAUACCCGGGUAGUC